rnacentral:rRNA from 1 species
AUGUGUUGUCCUGUGCUAGAUGUUGCUUUUGAAUCGUACCAAAUUGGACAGCAUCCUACCCGAGCAGUACCCGUAGCAAAUACCGAUGACUUCAUAUACCGAAACCUACCUACAAGGCACCAUGUCCUAAGAAAGGUUGCGGACUGUCGCCACUGUGGGGCGUUGCGGUUUCCAUUCGAGGGGCCAGCAUUUUGUUGCAGAAAAGGAAAAGUCGAUUUGUUUACUCCAGAUGUUCCAGAAGAGUUGAAACGGUUGUUUACAAGUCAAGAUGAUGAGGAUGCUAAGUACUUCAGAGAACAUAUACGGUAUUUCAACUCGCACUUCUCAUUCACAAGUCUAGGCGUCACCCUUGAUCGUCGAGUAAGCACUGCGGCAGGAACUGGCAUAUAUACAUUCCGUGCAUGUGGUGGGCUGUACCAUGCUCUUGACAAUCUGGUGCCGGCUAAUAAUGGCCCUCGACAUUUGCAACUCUAUAUUUAUGAUACAGAUCAAAACUUGGUACACAGGGCUAAUAGGUCUCCAGAUCUUAAUAUAGACCUCAUACGAAAGAUUCAGAAUACUACAGCAUAA